UUUCUGUAACCAGCAGGCUCCGUUGUCCCGGGGAGCUGGCGAAGGGGGUGCCUGUGUCCAGGCCUGGGGGCUGCACCAGCUGUCUCCGGGGCUGGCCCAGGUCCCCACCACUCGGACGGGUCAGCGCAGUGAGCGCCCAGUCUGCUCGCACCUCCAGACGCACCCCCUUUCCAGCUCUUCUUCCUCCCCCACCCACAAUCCCAGGAUCAGAGAGCAAGCAAUGGUUUGGCCAAAAGGCAGGCCCACCUUCUGCACUGGACAACGAUGCUUCGGGGGCCCAGAAAGAGAGACAGGGGAGAAGGGACCGCUGAGAGGCCAACCAGGGGACGGUGAAGCAUGAGUGGGAGGCUUGCUCAGGCCAGCAGGACAGAAGGAGGAGAGGGUGCUACCAGCCCGAGGCCCAGGGUCAUGCUGCAGAAGCCCCAGCUACAGAAAUUUGCAGCAGCGACUGGGAGGGUGUUGGAGGUGGGGAUGCAACUGGAGGCUUCUUCCUGGCUCUGCCUCCAGGAUCCCGUCAGAGCAUGACGUCGGCCCAACCACGCGGAAGUCUUCUGCAACCCUCUGGCCAAAUAUGUGGGGAUCUGGCUUCAUUUGAACCAGGAAGUGUCAUCACCUAAAUGGACCGAUGAGCUGAUAGGAAGCUGGAGGAGAAAGCCAUCCGCAGGCCUCACCCCAGAGAACCGGCAGGAAAAUGCCCACCAGCAGGGAGGACCCAUCCUGGGCUCGGGGGCCCCCAACGCUCCCCGGCACCCGCACCUCCUCCAUCCCCUGUGUCACUUCUUGGGCCUCCCCUGGCCUCCUCACCAUGCUUAUGAGUCUACAAGGACAGAAAAGUCCCCGAACAUCACAACAAGGGCCCCUCCCCAAAAUGGUCCCGCUUAAAAACAUCGUGGUUCAACCUAACAUUCCCACAAAGGGGAAUGGUUCUAAAAAGAAAAGCUUUGAGCGCAUAGACGGUGGAGUUUUAAUCAUUCGAAACCUCGUAUGUGGAA